rnacentral:rRNA from 1 species
UCAGGUCUAGUAAUUGGAAUGAGAACAAUUUAAAAUCCUUACCGAGUAUCAAUUGGAGGGCAAGUCUGGUGCCAGCAGCCGCGGUAAUUCCAGCUCCAAUAGCGUAUAUUAAAGUUGUUGCGGUUAAAAAGCUCGUAGUUGGAUUCCUGUAUGGAAGGGGCGUCCCCACCCUUUGGAUGGGGGUUGCUACCUUCUUUGCAUCUUCUUGAGUAGAUGUUCCUCGCUUAACUGUGAGGACAUCGUGCUCGGGACAUUUACUUUGAGGAAAAGAGAGUGCUCCAAGCAGGCAAACGCCUGAAUACGUUAGCAUGGAAUAAUAGCAUCGGAUCAUCGUACAGCUGUUGGUGUCUGGACGAGGAUAAAGGUGAACAGGGAUUGUUGGGGGCAUUCGUAUUUAACUGUCAGAGGUGAAAUUCUUGGAUUUGUUGAAGACGAGCUACUGCGAAAGCAUUUGCCAAAGAUGUUCUCAUUGAUCAAGAACGAAAGUUAGGUGAUCGAAGACGAUCAGAUACCGUCCUAGUCUUAACCAUAAACUAUGCCAACUGGAGAUGGGACGUGUU